rnacentral:lncRNA from 1 species
GUGAUUCAUACCAAACUACUGUUCUCUCGUAACUAACAUAAUUAAUUGUCUUUCAUUCCAAAGGAGUUAGCGGUUCGGUAUGAACAUGUGCUGUUCUGCAUUGUUGAUGUGGACUUGGCAAAGGAUGUGGCAGACCUUUGCAAUAUCAUUGCCAUGCCAACAUUCCAGUUCUUCAUGAACGGAGAAAAGAUUUUUGAAAUAACUGGUGCUAAUGCAAAAAAACUGGAGCGGAAGAUUAAAGAGUUGAUGUAAUCACUGAAGAAUGCUCCCCUGUGAUCCCAUGCUAUUGCUACAAAUGCCAGUAAAAUAACUUUUCCACAAGCCACCAUCUAGGUGAAAGAUACAUUCAUACAAUGAAGUUAUACAGAAAUGGUCUAUUUAAGUCUAAGGUCUAGAGGAACCUGUGUAAUGGAAUGAUACACUUGACAGUCAUCAUAGA